UACGUAGGGGCGAGCGUUGUCCGAAGUUACUGGGCGUAAAGCGCGCGUAGGCGGUCUCUUAAGUCCGGGGUGAAAGGUUCAGCGCUCAACGCGAACAGUGCCCUGGAGACUGGGGGACUUGAGUGUGGGAGGGGGCAGUGGAAUUCCUGGUGUAGCGGUGAAAUGCGUAGAUAUCAGGAGGAACACCGAUGGCGAAGGCAGCUGC
rnacentral:rRNA from 1 species